AUUUUUUAGGAUUUACCUAAGGUUUGAUUAUGAUUUAUUUAAAAUUUUGUUAAAAUAUUUUUAUAAAAACAUUAAGGAUUUUUUAUGAUUAUUUUCGAGGAUUUUUUUUUAAAAUCUCUUUAGAAUUUAAAUAAGGUUUAAUGAGGAUUGUUAUGGUUCAUUUGGGAUUUGUUUAGAAAUUUAUUAAAAUUGUUAAAUUCUUUUUUGUUACAAAAUACAAGUACACCUUCUACAACCAAGUGUGUGGUGCAUUUUCAAGCAAGACAAUACAUAAUACAAUAUAUUUAAUGAACCCAACAUGAGAAGCUUCA
rnacentral:lncRNA from 1 species